AUUAGGUAGUAGAAGAGGUUGAUGCUUACACUCUAACACCAAACAAUGCUUUACACAUCAGAGCCAACUGUAACUUCACUGAUCAGUUUGGUAGGGGGAGAAGGAUUGGAGAGGAGUGGCUGGUUAAAUAUGAUGACACUGAAUCAUACAUACCUGAUGUCACUGAGGAGGUUGUUAAUGAAGUACAGUUGACUGUUUUAUCCCACCAUCAGUAUUGUGUGGUUGUUAAUCCUCUUGGUGAUGAUGGUAGACCACGUCUUGGCUGUAGGGAACUGAGAAAAGGACCCAAGACUUUCUUCCUUCAUCCUGGUGAGAAGUUUGAGAGAGGGAUACAAGAUGCCAUUAUAUUGGAAUCUGAUGAAGCUCUUCUUGUCACUGCUCAAGAGGAAUUUGAUGACAUUACUGAAGAUGGUAGUAAAGUCCAUCGUACCCCUGGUGACAGGUGGAUGAUUCAUGGACCAACUGACUAUAUACCUAGAACUGAGAUUGGAAACAUACAGAGGAGGAAGGCUACUCCAUU